AUGAUGGUGACCUAAACCCUCACCAGAGUAACAAUUGGAGGGCAAGUCUGGUGCCAGCAGCCGCGGUAAUUCCAGCUCCAAUAGCGUAUAUUAAACUUGUUGCAGUUAAAAAGCUCGUAGUUGAAUUUCUGCGUUAUCGAGUUAUUGACUCUUGUCUUUAAUCGAUUUCGCUUUUGGGAUUUAUCCCUUUUUACUUUGAGAAAAUUAGAGUGUUUCAAGCAGACUUUUGUCUUGAAUACUUCAGCAUGGAAUAAUAGAGUAGGACUUUGGUUCUAUUUUGUUGGUUUUUGAACCUUAGUAAUGGUUAAUAGGAACGGUUGGGGGCAUUCGUAUUUAACUGUCAGAGGUGAAAUUCUUAGAUUUGUUAAAGACGAACUACUGCGAAAGCAUUUGCCAAGGACGUUUCCAUUAAUCAAGAACGAAAGUAGGGAUCGAAGACGAUCAGAUACCGUCGUAGUC
rnacentral:rRNA from 1 species